rnacentral:rRNA from 1 species
AACGAACGCUGGCGGCAUGCCUAACACAUGCAAGUCGAGCGCCCGUAGCAAUACGGGAGCGGCGCACGGGUGAGUAACGCGUGGGAACCUGCCCAGAGGUUCGGGACAACCGCGGGAAACUGCGGCUGAUACCGGAUGAUACCUGAGGGUCAAAGAUUUAUCGCCUUUGGAGGGGCCCGCGUCGGAUUAGGUAGUUGGUGGGGUAACGGCCUACCAAGCCUAUGAUCCGUAACUGGUCUGAGAGGAUGACCAGUCACACUGGGACUGAGACACGGCCCAGACUCCUACGGGAGGCAGCAGUGGGGAGUAUUGGACAAUGGGGGGCAACCCUGAUCCAGCAAUGCCGCGUGGGUGAUGAAGGCCUUCGGGUUGUAAGCCUUCGGUGGGACGGAUGAUGACGGUACCCGCAGAAGAAGCCCCGGCUAACUUCGUGCCAGCAGCCGCGGUAAU